rnacentral:rRNA from 1 species
UACGAAGGGGGCUAGCGUUGCUCGGAAUCACUGGGCGUAAAGCGCACGUAGGCGGAUUGUUAAGUCAGGGGUGAAAUCCUGGAGCUCAACUCCAGAACUGCCUUUGAUACUGGCGAUCUCGAGUCCGGGAGAGGUGAGUGGAACUGCGAGUGUAGAGGUGAAAUUCGUAGAUAUUCGCAAGAACACCAGUGGCGAAGGCGGCUCACUGGCCCGGUACUGGACGCUGAGGUGCGAAAGCGUGGG